AAUGAACGUUGGCAGCAUGGAUUAGGCAUGCAAGUCGGGGGAAUCCCAGCAAUGGGGGAACCGGCGUAAGGGGCAGUAAGGCAUGGGUACCUACCUUGGGGUUCGGGAUAGCCAUCAGAGAUGGUGGGUAAUACCGGAUGACGUCGUGAGACCAAAGAUUUAUCGCCCUUAGAGGGGCCCAUGUGAUAGUAGCUAGUUGGUGGGGUAACGGCCCACCAAGGCGAAGAUGUCUAGCGGGUGUGAGAGCACGACCCGCGCCACUCGCACUGAGACACUGGCGAGACACCUACGGGUGGCUGCAGUCGAGGAUCUUCGGCAAUGAGCGCAAGCUUGACCGAGCGAUGCCGCGUGAGCGAUGAAGGCCUUCGGGUUGUAAAGCUCUUUAGUGGGGGAGAAAAGCCGCAAGGUGUGAUCUAUCCCAAAAAUAAGCACGGGCUAAGUUCGUGCCAGCCGCCGCAGUAA
rnacentral:rRNA from 1 species